rnacentral:rRNA from 1 species
GACGAACGCUGGCGGUGUGCUUAACACAUGCAAGUCGAACGGAAAGGCCCUGCUUUUGUGGGGUGCUCGAGUGGCGAACGGGUGAGUAACACGUGAGUAACCUGCCCUUGACUCUGGGAUAACUUCUGGAAACUGGGGCUAAUACCGGCUAGGAGCUCCUGCUGCAUGGUGGGGGUUGGAAAGUUUCGGCGGUUGGGGAUGGACUCGCGGCUUAUCAGCUUGUUGGUGGGGUAGUGGCUUACCAAGGCUUUGACGGGUAGCCGGCCUGAGAGGGUGACCGGCCACAUUGGGACUGAGAUACGGCCCAGACGCCUACGGGAGGCAGCAGUGGGGAAUAUUGCACAAUGGGCGGAAGCCUGAUGCAGCAACGCCGCGGGCGGGAUGACGGCCUUCGGGUUGUAAACCGCUUUCGCCUGUGACGAAGCGUGAGUGACGGUAAUGGGUAAAGAAGCACCGGCUAACUACGUG